UAAGACCUUGCGCUUUUGGAGCGGCCGAUGUCUGAUUAGCUAGUUGGUGGGGUAAUGGCCUACCAAAGCUUCGAUCAGUAGCUGGUCUGAGAGGACGGCCAGCCACACUGGGACUGAGACACGGCCCAGACUCCUACGGGAGGCAGCAGUGGGGAAUUUUGGACAAUGGGCGCAAGCCUGAUCCAGCCAUGUCGCGUGAGUGAAGAAGGCCUUCGGGUUGUAAAGCUCUUUCAGCCGGGAAGAAAAGGCUGCGACUAAUAAUCGCAGUUCAUGACGGUACCGGAAGAAGAAGCACCGGCUAACUACGUGCCAGCAGCCGCGGUAAUACGUAGGGUGCGAGCGUUAAUCGGAAUUACUGGGCGUAAAGGGUGCGCAGGCGGUUUUGUAAGUCAGAUGUGAAAUUCCCGGGCUUAACCUGGGAACU
rnacentral:rRNA from 1 species